ACGAACGCUGGCGGCAUGCCUAACCCCUGCAAGUCGAACGAGACCUUCGGGUCUAGUGGCGCACGGGUGCGUAACGCGUGGGAACCUGCCCUUAGGUUCGGAAUAACUCCCCGAAAGGGGUGCUAAUACCGGAUAAUGUCUUCGGACCAAAGAUUUAUCGCCUUUGGAUGGGCCCGCGUUGGAUUAGCUAGUUGGUAGGGUAAAGGCCUACCAAGGCGACGAUCCAUAGCUGGUCUGAGAGGAUGAUCAGCCACACUGGGACUGAGACACGGCCCAGACUCCUACGGGAGGCAGCAGUGGGGAAUAUUGGACAAUGGGCGAAAGCCUGAUCCAGCAAUGCCGCGUGAGUGAUGAAGGCCUUAGGGUUGUAAAGCUCUUUUACCCGGGAUGAUAAUGACAGUACCGGGAGAAUAAGCUCCGGCUAACUCCGUG
rnacentral:rRNA from 1 species